ACCCAUGAGCAAAAUCUCAACUUUAUUAGAAGAGACGCAUUUAUUAGAUAAAAAGCCAAUGCAUGCUUUUACAGUAUGAAAAUUGGUGAUUUAUAAUAACUUAGCAAAUCGCAAAGUGAAAACAGGCGAUAAAUCAUUCAAGUUUCUGACCUAUCAGCUUUCGACGGUAUGGUAUUGGCUUACCGUGGCAGUGACGGUUAACGGGGGAUUAGGGUUCGAUUCCGGAGAGGGAGCCUGAGAAACGGCUACCACAUCUAAGGAAGGCAGCAGGCGCGCAAAUUACCCAAUUCUAACAGUUUGAGAGAGGUAGUAACAAGAAAUAACAAUACAAGGCAGUUAAAAUGCUUUGUAAUUGGAAUGAUAGAAAUUUAAACCCUUUUUAAAGUAUCAAUUGGAGGGCAAGUCUGGUGCCAGCAGCCGCGGUAAUUCCAGCUCCAAUAGCGUAUAUUAAAAUUGUUGCAGUUAAAAAGCUCGUAGUUGAAGUUCUGCUAAAAGUAACCGGUCUGCUUUGAAUAAAAGUGGUAUCUUGGUAUGUAUUUAGCAAUGAUGUCCUUUGAAGUGUUUUUUACUUUAUUGUAAUAAAGCAUAUUCAGGACUUUUACUUUGAGAAAA
rnacentral:rRNA from 1 species